AGAGAAUCACCGUGACUCAGGGGAGAAGGAUGGGACAUAAGAGCUGCAGGAGAGAAAGCUGAUCGGCCAUCUGCACAACGCCAGACGUUUCUACUCGCCUCUUGAUUCGGGAAGAUCCAGUUUGAUGAUGAGACAUUUUCUCUUGAAUUGUAGUACAGCAACUGAAGGAGAUGGAGAGAGUUAAGAUAAUAAAUUCAGACAGAAAAGCUGUAAAGUAAAAUGAUGGUUAAAUAGCCUCCUUGCCUGGGGCGUACAUUAGGGAACAAAUUUGUGACCUUUGAUAAUCCAUCCACCAAAAAGCUUAUGAAAUAGUCUUGCCAGUGACCUUCAGGAGAGUGACCUUCAGGAGAAUAAGAGCAUCUACACAGGCCGAGGUUCUGUUUUUAUAGGUUCAAAAUUAAGGACCACAAGAAGAACAAAGGACGAGAACUGUUUUGAAAUCUGCACAAAUGGAUCAGUAAUGGAAUUUUCCUCAAAUUUCAUGUACAAAGCAGCUGUUGCCGGAAGGAUGCUACAGAGUAAGGGCUCUAAGUGCCUUCCCUUGCACUCCCCUGGUAUCAUUCUCAGGAGAUCAGUCUUUGAUCUCUUUGAAACACAUUCAUCACUGAGUUAUCCAACACAUGCUUGCAUGCGGCAUUUUUGUGGGCAUUGAGAAUUCAAGGUGAAGAAGAUGUUUGAUGCCCUUGGCGUCGAGGCCUUCAGUCUUACUAUCAUAGGCAUUAUAACAGAAAUACCUGUAGGAUGUGACAGGUGUGAGAGUGUGCAACCUCACUGGGACUGCACCUUCGGUGAGGAUAGAAGAGAAACCACCUCCAUAUUAAAUGUGCAGCAAUGGAUCCUCCUAUGGCUGGAUAGUCACUUUGCACUGCUGUUAUAAAAACACUAUUACCAAGGCGACUUAUAGAAAGAAGAUGGCUUAAGUUUCCCGGGGAAAGUCUGUAACAUCAGAAAGGCAUGGCUGUAGUCAUCUAGAACCACACACAAACUCAGAGAGAAACUACAUGUCGGGCAAGGUCAUAAGCUGUCAAAGCUCUCCCCACCAAGGGACGUGCUUCCUCCAGCAAUGCUGAACCUCCCCAGACACCACCACCAACUGGAGAUCAAGUGUUCAAAUAUCUGAGCUUUGCGGGGACAUUUCUCAUUUGAAACCCCCUCCCCAGAAGAGUCAUUCAGGAUGCCUUACAGUUUACAGGACAUGCUGUAAUCAAAGUAACUAUUAAAUGUUCCCAAGAUUUCUGAGACUUGCAAAGGACAUUUAAUAAAUAAAAAAAUGUACAGUGAAAUAAAAAAACAAUUAAGAAAAA
rnacentral:lncRNA from 1 species